GUGUUCAUGCUUUCCGGUACCUGCUAAACAAAAUUACUUGUUAUUUUGGAAGAUUUGAAUAUCAACAUGGCUUUCUAAGCCAAAGAGAGCUAAGAACGCCUUCAGAAACAAAAAACAAAGAGGUGAUACCAACUCCAUCCCGAAGUACCUCAGUUUUGGGCCCUGGUAAUUCCUCUACCGGUCCCACAAAGAACCCGUUGAGCUUUCUUCCAACACUAUCUUCAAAAGAUGAUGAUGAAACCUCUAACAGAUGGUUAGAUGAGGAUGGAGGUGAUGAGAUACCUUAUUGUGUAUCACCUGAUAUCAGUGACUUUGAUAUCAGUGAUUUUGACUCCUCUUCUGACUCAAGUACUCACCUACUGGAUAAAUCUUAAUUUCUAAAGAGAUUUUACAUUUCUGCCAUUUGUGUGUAGUAGUCUGUAUAGUCUACAUUUAAACAUGUUUAUAAGAUACAUUUAGUUUGGGUUCUUCUUUUGUAGACAGAGGGAGUUUUUCUGAUGCAAGUUGAUCAGCUCACUUCCUUUCUCUCUCAAAAUUAUGGAUUGCCUGUCUCCUCAACAGAUCCAGAUAAUGAAAAGUUAAAUUGUUAGGGUCAUUGAUAACUGAUAACCCAUCCAAAGAUGCCAUCAGGAGGAGGACAUUGGAAAGGCAACACUUCAUUUUUUUGCUCCCAAAGCCCCCUCGACACAUUUUAACAGUGCUUUGUAGGAGGGAUUCAGAGUUGGAUUCUAGGCAACACAGAACAUCCUCUUGAGAAGUCUUUGGAAAGUUCCUUCACAUCCCAAUCAGUUUCAGGCUAUAAUGUGUGUGUAUUCAUAUCUUUCUGUUGUAUUCAGCAUGUGGAGUUAAGUACAUUAAAUAAACAUAUAUAUA
rnacentral:lncRNA from 1 species